GCGGGACUCAAUAUGGCGGCGCGCGCUCGGCCGCUUGACCCCGGUGUCCCCUAAAGCGGGUAAGGGAUGAAACUUUCUCAUCUCGAGUCAUGCUGUUUUCGGAAACGUAGGGAUGCGUUUUAAUUUCUAUGCGCCACCCGUGGGUCGGCCCUCACCUGCGAGUCGGCUGACCGUGAACGACCCUCACUUGCUGUGCACCGGAAGGGCUUGGUCUUCUUGGCCUCUGUUUCCCGGAAGUGGUUUCCCUCCACCUCCUCAGGAGGGCCGGCCUUCCCUAAGGGCGGAGUCUAGGGCUUCUUUGGGACUGAAUAUGCAUUAGCUUUUGGAAGUCCAGCUUUGAUUUUCCCCUAAGCAUUGCUACAAAGGCCGGACUGCGGCUCUGGGCACCGUUCACAUCCUCGGCCGCCUUUGGCUUUGUGACCUUGGGCCGGUUGUAUAAGCUCUCUGAGCUUCCCAGGUGACUUCUCUGCAAAGUGGGCUGGUAACGCCCGAGUUGGUGCUAAAUCCUAAAGUUCAUGCUGCGAACCGGGCCCUCAGCAGAUCAGCCUCUGUUUGGUCUGGUGGCAGGCCCCACGGGCUCCUGAGAGACGUGAGAAGCAGCUUUGUAUGGGAGCCACCUCUGCUCGCGUUUCCACCCAGAAUCAAAGGACUGACUGACCAUUCUUUCAAUCCCUAAGCGGUGUCUUUUCUAUCUAAUCCUAAUAACCAAGCCUGGAGGAAUUGUAGACUUUCUGGUUGAAGGUUCAACAGGUCUCCUCGUUUAAGGAUAGAGUUAAGUCUCAGUGAAGCUACAGAGGAGAAUCUGAAAAAUGCAAAUGUUACUACCUUAACGGAAAGAGGGAGGAGGGGGCGCUUUCCUAAAUGGCCUUUACCUUGGACCUUUUCUUUCUCCUGGCAUUUGGGCUGCCAGGGAUCUUGCUUCUGCCCCACCAACACACUGAAAGCAAGAGCUCUUGACGUGAUGACUAAGGAAAAGAAUUUGGUUUUCAUUUGGAGACAGCUGAUUCUGAAGCCAUCUUAAAGCCUAAGCAUAGCACAACUGCAUUCAUGAUUCUAUGAAUUCUUUCCUACCAUUGGAACUUAGGGAAGGGGAGAGGAAGUGUGCAUCUAGGAAAUGUGGAAGGACAAGCUCUUCGUUCUUUCAUCCUUCCGCUGCCUUCUAACUCUGUGGUCGAGUGUGGUCUUCCCAGGAGAGCAUCUUCCAGGAAACUUAUUAGAAAGGAAGAACCCCAGGCCUCAUUUCACAUCUGAAGCAGAGUCUGCCUUGUAGCCGACUCCUCAGCCAUUGCUAGGCAUGCUAAAGUUGACAAGGCCCUGGUUUAACUCCUGGGGUGGUCUGGUUUAAAGUGAUGAGAUGGCAUCAAAGAUGACGGAAGGACAGAGUCCACAGAGCCAGAAUUUGGGGCAGUGGAGGCAGAGCACCUAUUUCCUGCAUUUGGGCACUGCCAGCAGGUUGAUUCAGAAGAUGGGUGAAAAAUUUGUUCCUGGGGUAGCAGGAGGAGCACCACGACUUUGGAAUCUUUUGCUUAAAAGAAGGAUGAGCUCGGCUGUUCAUACCAUACAUCCCGGAGGUCUUCAGCAAGGUGAGGUUCCUCUGACCAAGAAGCCGGCUGCCCAGAUGCACUAAGCACUAAGCAAUAUGCCUCCCUCGCAUAUUCCGGAAAGAAGACCUCUGAACACCAACUUUGAAAACAAUGCAAGCUUGCCUCUAUGCUGAUCCUUAUCUGCAGCCCUAUUUUUCACUCCCAAAACUAUAGAACCACCUCCCAGUCUCUCCUGGGGGGGGGGGGGCACAGUCUUUAAGGCAUGAGCCUGCUGUGACCCUCCUUGGCCUGGCAAAGCAAUAAAGCUAUUUUUUUCCCUCCUUCGCCCACAACUCUUGUCUCUGCAUUUCUGUUCGGCACCGAUGACAGAGGCUAAGUUCUGGCAGGAAUGUUAUUGAGGAUAUAGAAAUGGCUCUUAUUGUUAGUAUGGGAAAAGAAAGAAAGAAAUAAGCUGCAUACAGCACGUGACAUAAAUGCAUACUGAUGAAAGUGCCCAGGUGAUACUUGUGUGUAAUUUUAGCCAUACUUGUAUUUAUUUAAUUUUUUUUUAAUUGAUAAUCUGGUGAAUGAGACAGGGCGGCCUUUAAGAAGAUGCCAGGAUUUAGGAGAUACGUAUUUUGUACUUCAGUAUACUACGGCAUUUCUAGAUCCAAAAUUUUUUGUUAUUCCAGUGCACAGCAGACUAGAAUUGUCUUUUCUGGGUGCACGAUACAAGCUAAAAUCAGCAAAGGUCAGUGGGAUGUCAUGAAUUUCCGAGAGGGGUUAGAAGUCUAAAAUUAAUAAUUCCAUCACCAGUUAACCUGCCAACUAAAAAAUGUUGUUAGAUCCUGUGCAUGUGCAGCGUCGGAGGAUCGUAGGAUGUUUGUUCAUGACUGGAAUUCCUUGUCAAGCCACUCUGAGAACAUGUGAUUUUUGAGACCUUGCCCCGUAACAACCAAGCAAGAUGCCAGGCCCGUGUUACACAGAGUGAAAUUGGAUUGCCUGUCAAUUAGCAAGGCCAAGUUAGACUAGCACUGUGUAGCCUUACAUGGUCUCUGACUUAGAUGUGGGACACGAGUGACGUGAAGGGGGCCAGUCGGGAGACAGAUAAUGCAAAAACACUCGAGGUGGCUUUGCUUGAGACGACUGAAGAGCUAUUCCCAUACCAGGCAGGUGGGUGAUGGUUGAAAUAUGAAAUGCAUGGAAAUAAAAACAUCGCAUUAAAUCU
rnacentral:lncRNA from 1 species